UUAACUUUGCAUUUGUCAAGUUUCCUAUCGAAGUGUCGAUUGGAAUUAAAAGGGAAUACCGGUGAGAAUCCGGAGCUGUACUCGCAGCUGUAAGUCCUAUUAAAGUUUAUCGCACUCUUUGCCACUGGUGAAAGCUGGGAAGGCGCGAUAAGCGGGAUGAGCCAGAAGACCUGCUUGAUGAGAUAUGAUUAGU
rnacentral:ncRNA from 24 species